rnacentral:rRNA from 1 species
GAUGAACGCUGGCGGCGUGCCUAAUACAUGCAAGUCGAGCGAACAGAUGAGGAGCUUGCUCCUCUGACGUUAGCGGCGGACGGGUGAGUAACACGUGGAUAACCUACCUAUAAGACUGGGAUAACUUCGGGAAACCGGAGCUAAUACCGGAUAAUAUAUUGAACCGCAUGGUUCAAUAGUGAAAGACGGUUUUGCUGUCACUUAUAGAUGGAUCCGCGCCGCAUUAGCUAGUUGGUAAGGUAACGGCUUACCAAGGCGACGAUGCGUAGCCGACCUGAGAGAGUGAUCGGCCACACUGGAACUGAGACACGGUCCAGACUCCUACGGGAGGCAGCAGUAGGGAAUCUUCCGCAAUGGGCGAAAGCCUGACGGAGCAACGCCGCGUGAGUGAUGAAGGUCUUCGGAUCGUAAAACUCUGUUAUUAGGGAAGAACAAAUGUGUAAGUAACUAUGCACGUCUUGACGGUACCUAAUCAGAAAGCCACGGCUAACUACGUG